CGACGGUGGAGUUCCGCCGCUGAUGUUGAUGUCGGAGAUGAUGGAGACGGCGGCGGCAGUGGGAUUCCACGGCGGAAGCGCCGCCGAUCACGGCGGUGGUUCUUUAUUUGUUUCCGACGGAUCUUACGAUGAUGUUGUUUUGGAUCGGGUUCAGACCACACUAGCCAACCGGUCAGAUUUUAUUCGGGUCAACAGCGGUUUGCUCGGUUCGGUUUCGCAGUCAACUCAGUCGGCCGGUUAAUUCAGCCAAAACGGGAAGCUUUCGGUUGAAGUUCGGGUUUUGGUUCGGACAUGUUUUGGUAUGGUUCAACUCGGUUGACUCGGUCAAACCGAGUCAACUCAGUCAACGACAACAGGUCAACACCCGAGUUAACUCGGGUCAACAACGGGUCAAGAUUGGUCAAUGAAAGUCAGCGGUCAGACCAAGUCGACAAGUUAGCGGAUACGGGUCCAAAGCAGUUACGGUUUGGGUCAAUAGCUAGCCAACCUCAGUUUCGGUUCGAAACGACUCGGUCAAACUGAGUCGACUCGGUCAAACCGAGUCCACUCAGUCAAACCCGGUCAACAGCAGUAAACGCGGUCAACUCAGGACCCGGUAAAGUUUAAGCAUAGCAAGUGUUAUUGCGUUAUUUUUUUAGAGUUAUAGUUGCACGCGACCGAGCUUGAACCGAUGCGAUUAGAUAUUAGUCACGUUUGAUUAAAAUUAUACAUAUAGUGUUAAUAUAUUA